UCUUUGCCAUCCACUUAAGGUUGUGAUUGUGCACUGUAGCAUAUCACAUUAAAAGGGAAUCGGGUGUAAAUGCCCGGGCUGUUCCCGCAACUGUAAGCUAAUCUCAAAUAUGUUGAGAGGCUGUUGUUAACUGCAUGCCACUACGCUAUUUAGCGCGGGAAGGUAAACAACAGUACGCAAGCCAGGAGACCUGCCUUAAGCGGUAACUAAUA
rnacentral:ncRNA from 2 species